rnacentral:lncRNA from 10 species
AAAAAUGUGUGUGUUUUACAUAGUUGAUACCAUUCUCUGUGUGCAAUUUUAUAUCCUGAUUUUCUGACUAUUAUACGAUAAGCGUUACCUUCUUCAUCAAAGCCUUUUGAUAAAUAUCAAUUGCUGAGUAAUAUUUCAUCAUGGGGAUGUAUUAUAAUUCAUUCAACUACCAUCUAUUGCUGGACAUUUCAAUUUUAUAAAUAACACAAGCUGAAUAUAUUUGUACAAAAAAAAUCACUAAGGCUUAACUAGAUUUUUCAAUCUAGUUUAUUUCUGGUUCUCAGUCUAUCUUACAAGUCUUGAAUUUAGAAACAUGACCUUGGUAGUAGGGGCUUCCUUAUCUUCAGUUGGUGAAGUGAGCCCUGCUGAAGUGCAGAGAAUCACUCAUGAUUUCAAAAUAGGGCAAAGGUUACAAUAGAAUGAAACUGAUUGGCUGGGCCUGCUUGCUCUGGUGAGAAGGCCACACCAGUGUCAGGGACUGGGAUCUGCAACAGAAGGUGAGGACUCUAGUGCAGCAAAAGGUCAGGAACAAGGCCAAGAGCCCUAGAAAAGGUGGCCAAGGCAAUAGAGCAGGCUCCAGGGUGUCAGUGGGUCACCUGUAGUCAAGAGUGGGCUGGAGUCUGGAAGCCAAAGGGUCUGAAGCAGAAAGAAGUCACCAGCUCUCCCAACUCCUGGCAGAAACAAAGGUAGAUGAAAACACAGCACCAGGAACCAGAAGUGAACCCAGCCCUAGGACAAAGACUGUUUGCUAAAUGUUCUCUCACAUGUUGACCCUAAGGAACUGUGUGUGUUGGUAUAUAGGAACUCUAGUUAACCUUCCUACCUAUCCAGAGGUAGGACUGGAGUUAGAGGGUGUUAACCCAUCAGUCUUGGUGUGAGAAACAUCAUUUAAAAUAAACAAUUGUAUAAAGGUAAUGAGUGGGUACUGAUUUCAAAUGCUAUGUGAAAUAAAGGUAUUCGCUUUCUCAUCACUCAUAGAAAUUGACCA